GGAGAAGGCCAUAGUUCAGUGGCAGAGCCUCUUCCUUGCAUGCGGAUGGUCGCAGGCUUAAUCCCUGGCUUCUCCA